UUCACGACCCUGCCUCCCAAAUCCCAAUCCCAUCUCGACUCCAGCGCGCCGCCACCUCUUGCCCCGCCCCGCCCGGCCGGCGCUCCGCCUCCCAUCGCCGAGCGUCGUCGCCCCUCCUCGCCGCGCCGCCGGACCGCCUACCGUCGUCACGCACUGCCAUGGCCUACCUUGCCGCCCCGCCUACCCCUACCCCAAGUUCCCCCACACCCGCGCCCAUCACCGGCAUCCAUACGCGCGACCUGUUUCUCUGUUGCCGGGCGGCUGCAGGAGGUGGCCGGCAUCGCCCCGUCAUCAAAUCCCCUAGCCGCUUGAUCUCAUCCGCCGCAUGCUGGCUGCCCGUACAGGAUUGACGCGCCCUAUAUCCGGCGACCCGCGGCUACUCCUCCCAGCCCCGGAUCUGCUCUCCCGCCACCUGCGACCCACGGCUUCAAUGAUCCACGACCAACUCGGCUGCCCCCUUCCCCGUGCAGCUGCCUCUGAGGCUGCAGCAGCCUUCGCACGAGGCCACUACGGCGCCACCUAUGCUGUCCUGAAGUUCCGUCAGAUUCGUCAAUUUCAGUUUCAUCAGUUUUUGUCAGAUUAAGUUUCAUCAGAUUCAGAUAAUUCAGUUUCGUCAAAGUUUCAGUUGUAAGUUAAUUUCUCACGCACGUUGGCGCUCGGCGCUCGACGUCGUCCACUUCCUCACAUCACUCGAGCCCAAAUGCGUGCAGGUUACACCAGCCUUUGAUUUAUAUACCUACCGUACGUCCACUGAUCAGUAACAUGAAAAGGUUGGGCGCUCUGAGCUAGAACAUAAGCUGAUUGAUGAGAUGAGUUAAAAUGCUUCUGAUUGGUUAGACCCUCAAUAUUCCAAACUGAAGUCCAAGGAAGAAGGAUCAGGAAUAGCAGAUUUCCAAUGGACGCUGGUGUUGUUGGCUGACAUCUCCGGGGCUGUACAUCAUGAUGGUUACCAAGACACGACAAUGAUCUAAAUGCUACAAACCUGAAUGAAAUACCAUGACUGCAGGUCGUUGCUGAUUUGUGUUCGAAGAGGUGCAGCAAAAAGUGAGAAGCAACUGAGGUAAUCGCCGAUUGAAAAAAAUACAUGAUGCACUGAUGGAUUAUCAUGUAUAUAAUGCCUGUUAUUGGAAAGACCGAUGUUUUGCUCUGAACUUGUUUGUGUAAAUUUUUGGCAUUUUCCAUUGCUCUUCAGUGCACUGAAGAAUAGUGAAAUCUUGGCAUCCGAUUCCUUUUGCAGGCUAUGCUUUUAACUCAACCAAAUCUGCAUUGUUAGUUGCUCUUAUAGUCUGUUUGUAGCUAAUUGGGGGACAAACAUGGGCAAUGACCAGCUUAUUUUGAUGACAGUGCAAUCAAGGACUCACAUGUUCACUGAUGAAUCUACCUCUAUUUGCAUGGUUAUUUUCCGAAUCAGCAACACUUUAUGAGGGUCUUCAUCGGCAAUGUACAUAGUGAUGCAUAACUGUUGGUUUGAAUUAUUUGGAUGCUUCAGUUGUCAGACAUGUAUGUGCAGAGAGUUGAGGCUUUGAAAUUAGAUAAUAUGUCUAAUGAAUAUGCAUGUUUAUUCAUGGAACUAUGCUCCAUCUGUUUGAUCAAUUUGUUCGAUGCAUAUGCUCAUUCAUGUGUUGUCAUAGUGACUUGCCUGCGCUCAUUGUUGAUCGCAAAGAAGUGAGUUGGUCCAGAAAUUGCAGCUGAGAUGGAGCUCGGCAGGAUGGCUAGACAGGCCCAGCUUGGUAUUAGUCUUCUCUAAAAUUUUAUGUAGAAGUUUUUUCCUAGAUCCAAGUACAUUGUAUCAUUAUUUUGCAGGUGUGAUCCACAGCAGAGAUCACAUUUUCUAUGAUUAUAAUUUAUUUACUCAUGUUCAUACUAAAUGUUUUUAGCAAAGUUCAUACUAAAUGUUAAAAGGGUCAAUCCACAAGCUUGUCUGA